rnacentral:hammerhead_ribozyme from 1 species
AUCCAGUUGACGAGUCCCAAAUAGGACGAAAUGCGCCUUGUCCUGGAU